UUUUUGUAUGUAUUCCUUGAAGCAGGAAUAUUUAACUUUUUAAUUUUUAUUUUAAUUUAAAUUUUUAAUACAGUUGUGUUUUAUGCAUUUUAAUCCAUAGGCCAAAUUGCUAAAGGAGCUCAUGAAGUUCAAAAGGGCUGUGCUGUAUCUUUCUCUUAUCUGGAUGUUUGGAAGCAACUGUAUUCAGAGUUACAACUCUGCUCAUCGAUUGUGUAAAAAGGUAUCUGGCCAACACUUCUGAAUAUACAUCAUAAGCUCCUGCAGCCAAUUUCACUGAUGAUACUGGAAUAACCUAUCACUGAAAAUAAAAAUUCACACUCCUGGCAUUGAAACAACUAGUUAACCAUUAAAACAAAAAUCAUGCACUUUUUGAAUGCUAUUGCAGAAAUAUUCUGGCAGUUACUUCACUGCUACAGUGUAAACUCCCCAAGAGCAAGGAGGAUUGUCUUAAAUUCCACUGGAUUCCCCUUGAAAUAUAAUGAAUGUAGGAUAUUUCUUCUCAUGAACCAAGUGCUGCUUUAGUUCAAACAGCUAACAUAGAACUAUGAAACUAGAAAACACUAAAAUAGAAGUCUGAAUGCAACAAAUGGCUUGAUUAAUCUUAAGCCAUAAAUCUUGAGAAAGGUGAUUGUAACCAUAUGGAUCAUAAAAAUCUUCACAUACAUUAUAGGGUUCACAGAAACAGAUGUGAUAUAAUUAGUUCUAAAAUUAUAAAAAGCCAUUCAAAUACCUCCAAGUUACUUUAAAUACAGCCAGCUGUCAAAUAUCCAUGUACUAGGGAGGCAGAAACAACUUGGAUAACUGAAAUUUAAAGAUGAUCCCAAAAUGUCAUUUCAGGCAGUGUCUAAAAUAAAACAACAUUCUACAUUCUAAGUGGACACCCUAAAACAGUGCUGUUGAAUGGACUGAAAACAAGUGAUAAAACUGCUGAGUUUUACACUCCUUUUCCUACCCUGCCCACUGAGUUGGAGGUGCAAAGAAAGAGCCAAAAAAUUGAGCAGGAGAAUCUGGAUAAUAUGAAACUACACAACUGGCCCCUGCAAAAUCAAAUUUGAAGAAGUUAGAAGAUGAAUCCAAAGCAGAAAUUAAACCAGUGUUCCCUCCCAGUAUAAUUAAAUACUUGAUCCUGUGAGUAAAUAUUACCUUUCUCUUUCUUCCUCUUCUAGCAGCCUUUGGAGUGGUCACAUCCAUUGUUUUAGUCACAUCCUAAAGAACAAAAUAAAAUAUUAGUGCAAGAUAUGGAGACCUAAAAAACUUAUCAAGUUUGAAGGGUAUAGUAUAUACCAGAACCAAAGACAUAUUUUACUUAAGUCCUGGUAAGUUUUUGGCCUUUCUAAAUCACAAACAUUAAAACUUUUGAAGUUAUAACAUGAAAGAGUAACCCAGUGCUUGAAAUUAAUACUUUUUCUAAGUGCCUAGAACUACACAUGUGACAACUGGAAAUUAAUCAUAUAUACAAAAGCCUUAAUACAUCUGAAAUGAAAGCUAGAAUUUUUAAUUUCCUUCUCAAGUCACAUUUUUGCUUAGUACAUGGAAUUAACUGUUCUAAAAGGUGUAGCUUUGCUUAAAAGAUACCCAUUCCCAGAUUAAUUCAGGUUAUACACAAUUGUACAUUAUUGAAAUGGGAGGACUGACAACCCCCCUCCCACAAUCUUUUAAAGGGGCUGGGGUGAUGUAAAUAUUUAAAAUAAUCAUCUCCUAAUUUCCUUUUCCUUUCAAAAGACAUUUUCAUAAACAGUGGCAGUUCAGCAAAAUCCUCCUCCCCCCUCCAUCGCCUGUGUGACUUGACAAGUCAUUUAAUCUCUGUGUCUCAAUUUCCUUAUGUAUAAAAUGAGAGUAGAUCUAGAUGACUUUUAAGGUCCCUUUCCAGCUCUAAAUUUAGCAUGGUAUUUGGAAAUCAUAAAUAACAAAUGAAAAUUAUUCUAUUUGUUAGAAUGCUAAGUUGUUGUUAAUGUAUCUUGACAUUCUAUUGCAUAAUUGAGAUAACACACCAAAAUAUUCUUUUGAUAUGUAACAGGUAAAUGUUUGGCACAGAAUGUCUAUAUUUACUAACAUUUUCAUAAGAAAAUGAUUUUUUCUUUAAGUAGGAUUCUAAAGUUUUGCUUUUAAAAGAUUUACUGGGUCAAAAUUUUUCACAUGGUUUGAAUGUUAAAAGUAUCUUAUGGAAAUGUGUGUCUGCCUUUAUAAUGAUA